GUCGAACGGAGAUUAUACGCAGAGGCGAUUUCGGUCAAAUCAUGUGUAAUCUUAGUGGCGGACGGGUGAGUAACGCGUGGGUAACCUGCCUUACACUGGGGGAUAACACUUAGAAAUAGGUGCUAAUACCGCAUAAGCGCACGAAGCCGCAUGGAUUUGUGUGAAAAACUCCGGUGGUGUAAGAUGGACCCGCGUCUGAUUAGCUUGUUGGCGGGGUAACGGCCCACCAAGGCGACGAUCAGUAGCCGGCCUGAGAGGGUGGACGGCCACAUUGGGACUGAGACACGGCCCAAACUCCUACGGGAGGCAGCAGUGGGGGAUAUUGGACAAUGGGGGGAACCCUGAUCCAGCGACGCCGCGUGAGUGAAGAAGUAUUUCGGUAUGUAAAGCUCUGUCAGCAGGGAAGAAAGAAAUGACGGUACCUGACCAAGAAGCCCCGGCUAACUACGUGCCAGCAGCCGCGGUAAUACGUAGGGGGCAAGCGUUAUCCGGAAUUACUGGGUGUAAAGGGAGCGUAGACGGUUAAGUAAGUCUGGAGUGAAAGGCCGGGGCCCAACCCCGGGACUGCUCUGGAAACUAUUCAACUUGAGUGCAGGAGAGGUAAGCGGAAUUCCUAGUGUAGCGGUGAAAUGCGUAGAUAUUAGGAGGAACACCAGUGGCGAAGGCGGCUUACUGGACUGUAACUGACGUUGAGGCUCGAAAGCGUGGGGAGCAAACAGGAUUAGAUACCCUGGUAGUCCACGCCGUAAACGAUGAUUACUAGGUGUCGGUGGGUAUGGACCCAUCGGUGCCGCAGCAAACGCAGUAAGUAAUCCACCUGGGGAGUACGUUCGCAAGAAUGAAACUCAAA
rnacentral:rRNA from 1 species